UGCGGCGUGCCUAUACAUGCAAGUCGAGCGGACAGAUGGGAGCUUGCUCCCUGAUGUUAGCGGCGGACGGGUGAGUAACACGUGGGUAACCUGCCUGUAAGACUGGGAUAACUCCGGGAAACCGGGGCUAAUACCGGAUGCUUGUUUGAACCGCAUGGUUCAAACAUAAAAGGUGGCUUCGGCUACCACUUACAGAUGGACCCGCGGCGCAUUAGCUAGUUGGUGAGGUAACGGCUCACCAAGGCAACGAUGCGUAGCCGACCUGAGAGGGUGAUCGGCCACACUGGGACUGAGACACGGCCCAGACUCCUACGGGAGGCAGCAGUAGGGAAUCUUCCGCAAUGGACGAAAGUCUGACGGAGCAACGCCGCGUGAGUGAUGAAGGUUUUCGGAUCGUAAAGCUCUGUUGUUAGGGAAGAACAAGUACCGUUCGAAUAGGGCGGUACCUUGACGGUACCUAACCAGAAAGCCACGGCUAACUACGUGCCAGCAGCCGCGGUAAUACGUAGGUGGCAAGCGUUGUCCGGAAUUAUUGGGCGUAAAGGGCUCGCAGGCGGUUUCUUAAGUCUGAUGUGAAAGCCCCCGGCUCAACCGGGGAGGGUCAUUGGAAACUGGGGAACUUGAGUGCAGAAGAGGAGAGUGGAAUUCCACGUGUAGCGGUG
rnacentral:rRNA from 1 species